rnacentral:tRNA from 1 species
UCCCCAGUGGCUCAGUGGUAAAGAAUCUGCCUGCAAUGCAGGAGACACAGAAGACCUGGGUUCUAUCCCUGGGUGGGGAA